rnacentral:rRNA from 1 species
CAGCCGCCGCGGGAAUACGAAGGGGGCUAGCGUUGCUCGGAAUGACUGGGCGUAAAGGGCGCGUAGGCGGAUUGUACAGUCAGACGUGAAAUUCCUGGGCUCAACCUGGGGACUGCGUUUGAGACGUGCGAUCUAGAGUUUGGAAGAGGGUCGUGGAAUUCCCAGUGUAGAGGUGAAAUUCGUAGAUAUUGGGAAGAACACCGGUGGCGAAGGCGGCGACCUGGUCCUUGACUGACGCUGAGGCGCGAAAGCGUGGGGAGCAAACAGGAUUAGAUACCCCAGUAGUCCCUGUCUCUUAUAC